GUUUUGCGUGAGGGAUAGAAGCGGCAUCCUUUAUGGCGUUUCUUCAAGCCAUAAAGAUAUAGCGUAUAGCCCGACCGCAC
rfam:Flavobacterium frigoris strain DSM 15719 genome assembly, contig: Ga0131223_104